rnacentral:rRNA from 1 species
AUUGAACGCUGGCGGCAGGCCUAACACAUGCAAGUCGAGCGGAUGAAGGGAGCUUGCUCCUGGAUUCAGCGGCGGACGGGUCAGUAAUGCCUAGGAAUCUGCCUGGUAGUGGGGGAUAACGUCCGGAAGCGGGCGCUAAUACCGCAUACGUCCUGAGGGAGAAAGUGGGGGAUCUUCGGACCUUCCGCUAUCAGAUGAGCCUAGGUCGGAUUAGCUAGUUGGUGGGGUAAAGGCCUACCAAGGCGACGAUCCGUAACUGGUCUGAGAGGAUGAUCAGUCACACUGGAACUGAGACACGGUCCAGACUCCUACGGGAGGCAGCAGUGGGGAAUAUUGGACAAUGGGCGAAAGCCUGAUCCAGCCAUGCCGCGUGUGUGAAGAAGGUCUUCGGAUUGUAAAGCACUUUAAGUGGGGAGGAAGAGCAGUAAGUUAAUACCUUGCUGUUUUGACGUUACCAACAGAAUAAGCACCGGCUAACUUCGUG